rnacentral:rRNA from 1 species
CCCUUAGAUGUCCGGGGCCGCACGCGCGCUACACUGAAGGAAUCAGCGUGGCUUUCUCCCUGACCCGAAAGGGUUGGGAAACCCGUUGAAUCUCCUUCGUGAUAGGGAUUGGGGCUUGAAAUUGUUCCCCAUGAACGAGGAAUUCCCAGUAAGCGCGAGUCAUAAGCUCGCGUUGAUUACGUCCCUGCCCUUUGUACACACCGCCCGUCGCUACUACCGAUUGAAUGUUUCGGUGAAGAUUCCGGAUAGGACUUUUUUGAUUUAUUUCAAUUUUGUCUUAAAAGCUAUCUAAACCUCAACAUUUAGAGGAAGGUGAAGUCGUAACA